AUGCUUAGUCUGGCAGCACAUAUACUCAAAUUGGAACUAUGCAGAGAUUAGCAUGGCCCCUGAAUAAGGAUGACAUGCAUGUUCAUGAAUUGUUCUAAUUAAGA
ensembl:snRNA U6 U6 spliceosomal RNA